CUCCAGGGCCAGCUGCAGGUCGGCGAUGCGCCGGAUGGCCGUGCCCAGGUCUGCCUGCAGCCCUUGUCGUGCUGCCACCGCCUCGGCCAACUGCUGCUCCAGCUCCACACGCCGGCGGCUGGACUCCAGCUCCCUUUGCACCAGCUCAUCCAUGUCUGCCUUCAUCUCCUCCAUCCUCCGCUGGUAGUACUUGGUGCUUUCCUUCUCCCGCGCUUCUGACUCAGCUGCCUUCUCCAGCUCCUCUCCCAUCUUGAUGAUGCUGUCUCGCAAGCGCAGCACCAGCACCUCGAAGCGCUUCAUCUGCACAGCCUGGAAGUCCAGCUGGCUCUCCAAGUCACGGAUGCGGGCUUCCUGUCGGCUGAUGACGGCGCGCUCAGCAGGGCGCUGCUCCAGGCGUGCCACACUUGCCUGUGCCACCAGCAGCUUCUCUUGGAGGCUCUGC
rnacentral:lncRNA from 1 species